UUCACCUGCCAUUGACUUUUCACCAAUAACGCUUCCGCCCAGGCAAUGACAACCUCCUUCCUGCGCCUGUGGCUGCCAGCUGCCUUCUUACGGACCUGAUUCACCUCCAUCACUAAUGUGAAGAGGGAAUGGAAGCCUGCCCAUCCACAUCUGAGGCCUCUCCACCUGCUAACAUGCUCUCCUGACACCAACGCUCUCCUGGUGACACGACCUGGAGUGUGGACUCCUGUCCCUAUGACUCAGGAGUCCCUCGCUGUCCUUGACGGCAGUCUUCAAAAUGAGCUCCACAGAAUCUCUGCCUUCAAGAAUCUCAAGUUUACCUCCCUGU